rnacentral:tRNA from 1 species
AGCUGCGGCCACACGGCCAAGAGGACAGACUGGAAAUCCAUUGGGGUCUCCCCACAUAGGCUUGAAUCCUGUCAGCU